GCACAGGGGGACUGGGGGAGGACAGGAACUGUGAGGGAGCGAAUGGAGAGACAGGACACCAAUUGGUAGGGGCAUGAGAUGGGCUCGCCUUGAGAGUGAUAACAACUCGUCUCCCCCGUUUCCGUUCGCUGAGCACCUACUACGUGCACAACACACAGGAGGAGGUACACUGAAGCCCCAGCAGGAUCGCGUGUCUGUCCCUCCACCACAGACUGUGACUUGAGGGAGCAGGAAGUUGCUGGACAGCUUGUGUUCUCAGGGCCUAGCACAGAGACUUGUUUGUGGUAAACUCUCCAGUAAAGUUUGUUGAUUGGCAAGUCGUUGGAUCCUGAUUCGGGGAUGUGAGAGGUUGUGACUACUAUUAACAGUGAGGGGCUUUCUUUUAAAAAUGAGAGAUUUCCUCUGUCCUAGGGGGACUCAGGCCUCAGUCUUGGCUGGAGAACUAUCUGACAUGACAGCAAGACGUUUCUCUGUGGACCUCAGUUUCCACAACUGAACCAUGAAAAGUUGAUUGGGUGGUCGCCCAAGGUCUCUUCUAGCUCUGACAUGAAGACUACAUUAGGUCCUGACUAAUGUGCACAGGACCUGAGCUCAGAAUUAUCACCUGAAAUAGUGGAAAGAUCCCAAUUAGGGAAUCAUAGAAUCUUAGUCUUGGAAGAGUACUUGGAAGCUUCUAGUUCAGCUCCUCAUCCAAAACUACAGUGCCCUGCAGCACCCCUCUGUGGCCCCAUUCAAGGACUAGUUCCUUUCUCUGUGCUCAUAGCUCCUACCCUGGCACCACUGUCCUUUAUUCUGGAUGAGAACACCAAAGUUCAAGGAACCUGCCCAAGUAAUAAUUGAAAGCCCAGAUGCAUCUGACAGUGCCUAGUUAAAACUACUUUGCUAUUUUAAGAUGGGCCCUAAGAUUUUUGGAUUUCACCACUACUAGAAUCUUCUAAUAUGGUCAAGUUGAAGGAUCACAGGAUUUGCCAAGAAAGUCCUGGGUUACCAGCAGGUUGAACUUGGGCAGUUCACUUAACCUCUCUAAGUCGUCUUUUUCCCAUCUGUAAAAUGGGGUUAGAGUGAGCAUCAAUGAGAUAAGGCACUGAACCAAAAUGUUCUUUACAAAUGUUAAUUAUUGUUCAGCCUUCCCUCCCCUUUCUUCAUUAUUUUUAAACAGCAAAUACACGAAGACCUAGAGAGAUAGAAGAUCACACAGUGGUUUGGUGGUUGAAACUGAAUUGGGACUCAAGUUUCAUGGCCUUAGUAUAAAGAAAUCGAGUCUGGGCCUGAAGGGCGCAUGGAGACCCCCAGAGGUCCUGAGGGUGAAGGUGUUUCCUUGGGCUCGGUGGUGUCCUAGAGCUGCAGGCAAGUCCUGAUGCAGGGAGAGGCACCCCCUGCCGGUGAUAGACUCUGGGGACUAAGAGGAGCCUAGGCACCUUGCAGGCUGUUCUGCUGCUGUGUCAGGAACAGACUCACUCAGGACCGAGGGCAGAAAGUGGUUGCUUUUUUUCUUUCCUGACAUUUAUCUGGCCUUCCUGCUUCUUUUUCUUCCCUGGGUUUGCACCUCUAGUUCUGGCUGGAACCCUCAGCAGGCAUGGACUUUCAACCCAGACCUGAAACCCCACUCACUGUGUCCUCUGUCAUAGUGAAUGGCAAGUCACAGGAUUUUCACAUUCCCUAGUGUCUCAUUCCUCCCAACGAAAUUCCAUAAGCCCUGCCUCAUCCUGGGCUCAGACCAAGAGAAAGCCCCAGGCAUGAGUCUCAGGCACUUGAAGCCAUCCUCUUCCACACUGGUCCCUAGGAAGUGUGGGGAAACUGGCAGAUUCGUGCAUUACUGGUGGAGGUUUAACUUGGUAUGGCCUUUUUGGGAGAGCAAUACAGCAGUACCAUCAAGACUUUAUACACUUGACCCAUCAAUGCCACCUCGAAGAAUUCAGCCUGCAGAAUCACUGGCCCAAUCCACAAAGAUGUGUAUGCACAAGGACAUUCAGUGUGGCUCAUCCAGAGGACAAUGAUUACAUGCAUUAUAAUAAUCCAUGCAAUAACACAGUUUUAACAAUGAUAACACACACACAUUUGUUUUUUAAAAAGCAAGUGAAUAAUGGCAUGCAGGGAAGAAAGGUAUUAUCCUUUUCUGGGGGAAGAGGGAAAGCAAACUGGGAGACAGGGUUGGAAGAAGAGGAGAGAGGGAUGAUGCCCUGGGCUAGUUUAGAAGGUGAGAGCAAAGGCCCUCAAGCAUGCUAGGAGGGAUCUAAUUUUUGUUGAAGCCUUUCACAUAUAUUAUGUCACUCAAUCCUCAGAAACCCCAAUGAGGUGGGGAUCAUUGUUCCCAGUUUACUGAUGAGAAAAUAGAUGCCUGGUGAGGUUAAUAAGAGUACAACAUCGCACAGAUGGGGUGUGGUACAGUGUUAGCUUUGCCCCAAGAGAGAUCUGACUUUUGCCCUUGGCUCUUGGGAGGUCAUCUCUGAGUCCUUGGAUUAUCUCACCUGAUAAGAGUGCCUUUAUCUACCUGGGGGAUUUGGGCCAAACCAGGUAGUCUAUACUAACAAUGAUGGAUGGUGGGGUCUUUGGGCAUGUAUCAGCUCAACCUCCAGAGGGGCUAGAAACUAAGGUCAACCACUUGGAUGGUCAGCCAUGACUACAUGAGGGGCUAGAAACUAAGGUCAACCACUUGGAUGGUCAGCCAUGACUACAUGACUGAGCCCCAGUGAAAUCCCUGGACACUAAGGAUUGGAAAGAACUUCCCUGAUUAGCAAUAUUUUGCAUGUAAUGUCACACAUUGUUCCUCAGAGACUUUAGUGCUGUCCCCAGCUUCAUCAAGAGAGAACAACUGCGGUCUCUGCACAUGAAACUCUCCUGGACUCCG